rnacentral:tRNA from 1 species
AUGCCAAUAGCGUAGCAAAGAGAGGACAGCGUUGGCCUCCGGAGCCAAAGCUUGUGGGUUCGAGUCCCCCCUGGCGUACAA